GAUGAAGAACGUAGUAAAAUGCGAUAAGUAAUGUGAAUUGCAGAAUUCAGUGAAUCAUCGAAUCUUUGAACGCACAUUGCGCCCGCCAGUAUUCUGGCGGGCAUGCCUGUUCGAGCGUCAUUUCAACCCUCAAGCUCAGCUUGGUGUUGGGACUCGCGGUAACCCGCGUUCCCCAAAUCGAUUGGCGGUCACGUCGAGCUUCCAUAGCGUAGUAAUCAUACACCUCGUUACUGGUAAUCGUCGCGGCCACGCCGUAAAACCCCAACUUCUGAAUGUUGACCUCGGAUCAGGUAGGAAUACCCGCUGAACUUAAGCAUAUCAAUAGAGGA
rnacentral:misc_RNA from 1 species